UGUUCUAAAAUGAAGAUUUAUUUCUUCAAUUGACCUCAGAUAGCUAGUUAUCUAUAUAAGUAAAUGGUAAUAAUGGUUUCACACAUGUACCUAUAAAUGAUAGUGUUAUUUGUUAUCGUUUUUUUGCCAUCUAAAAGCCCAAAAGGUAGAACAAUUUACAACACAUCAAAAAGUCCAAUAAGCAUUACAAGUCAUCCAACACGUAUUACGAUACGUAUAAAUCGUAUAUGAACUCAAGAGCCCAUGUAGGCAGAGAGAUGAAUGUGUUGCAGCACCGCUCAUUCAUCACCAACAAAAUUUCCAAUGAUGCAUCCACCAUUGACCACCACGCCGCCGCGUUAGACCACUGCUCCUUCACCUUUUUUAACUCCUAUGAUUUGAUCUUGUGUACAUCUGAAGUCAGCAAUUUCCACUUCUUCAUGAAUUUCACCAUCGAUCAAUACAAACUUAAGAAAUAUGUCACCCUAAUCCUUAAAUAAUUUUUUUUAAGAGGAGAUUUAGAGAGAUCUAUAACUCACAGCCAAGAGAGGAUGAUGUCAAUUGAAUAUUUCAAACACUUGUCACUGGAUCUGUAUAUCACUGCCUCAAAUAGAAGAGGAACCUAUCUGUUAAAGAGAUAGGACAGAACAACAUCUCAACAGCUGGAAAAUCCUUUCCUUUUUACCGGUGGUCGGUCCCUGGUCCCGGCGAUCAGUCAUGUACCUUCAGACGAUCAUGCACCACCAACCCUUACGAUAACCCUUAUCUCGCUCGGUCAUCCCUCAGCCCACCCAACCCUCAGGAGGUCACCUCCUAUACAUAGUUCUUACCACUAAAGACCAACGAUUAUUCUAUUAUGAAGAGAUCAUUCAUUCCAGUAAAGGAUUAGUGAAAGAUUUCACUCAAGUAGAAAGAACCGAUAAAUAAAACUAGCGAAAAAAAUCCAAUGAACAUAAUCAAAUGACAGAACGAUCCAAAACAAAAGAAAAUCUGAUCAUAGUUGGAAUUAUUAGAUUCGGUUGAAACUGAAAAGAUGAUUCGAUAUUAAUUGGAAUUUACAAAUAAAGUGUCUCUCUCCAAAGAUGGGGAUGAAAGAAGAGAAAGAAAGAAAAACACUUCUCUUGU
rnacentral:lncRNA from 1 species